rnacentral:tRNA from 1 species
CUUAAWAGCCGAACGCUCUACCAACUGAGCUAAUAAGGA